AAAACACAGGGACUAAAACUAGACUUGACAUGGUAGGGCUGUUUUUGAAGCUGCCUAUUAUACUGCAGUGUGUACAGAUUCAGCCAAACUGAGGUAGCAGACCGAGGAUUUCAGCAGCUGAUAUCUGGAACAGUAUCCUGAGUCUACUCUGCAGAGGUAUCCCUACCUGCUCUGUAUGAUGUGAUCUCUACACACAUUCACAAUCUGAUCCACAACAACAUCAGGGACAGAAGUUUGACCACGGACAGAUGGACUUCUGACAUCUGAGUUUGACGGCCCAGUGGCUGGAUGAAGACUUUAACAUGAAGAAGAUGUUACAGCAGCACAGGAGACCUCCGGUUCACAGUGACUAAAUAAAUGAAGCUGAAGAGUCA